AGAGUUUGAUCCUGGCUCAGGAUGAACGCUAGCUACAGGCUUAACACAUGCAAGUCGAGGGGCAUCAUGAGGUAGCAAUACCUUGAUGGCGACCGGCGCACGGGUGAGUAACGCGUAUGCAACCUGCCUGAUGACUCGGGGUAUAGCCCAUGGAAACGUGGAUUAACACCCCAUAGUACUUUUAUCCUGCAUGGGAUGUGAGUUAAAUGUUCAAGGUAUCGGAUGGGCAUGCGUCCUAUUAGUUAGUUGGCGGGGUAACAGCCCACCAAGACGAUGAUAGGUAGGGGUUCUGAGAGGAAGGUCCCCCACAUUGGAACUGAGACACGGUCCAAACUCCUACGGGAGGCAGCAGUGAGGAAUAUUGGUCAAUGGACGAGAGUCUGAACCAGCCAAGUCGCGUGAGGGAAGACUGCCCUAUGGGUUGUAAACCUCUUUUAUAAGGGAAGAAUAAGUUCUACGUGUAGAAUGAUGCCUGUACCUUAUGAAUAAGCAUCGGCUAACUCCGUGCCAGCAGCCGCGGUAAUACGGAGGAUGCGAGCGUUAUCCGGAUUUAUUGGGUUUAAAGGGUGCGUAGGCGGUUUAUUAAGUUAGUGGUUAAAUAUUUGAGCUAAACUCAAUUGUGCCAUUAAUACUGGUAAACUGGAGUACAGACGAGGUAGGCGGAAUAAGUUAAGUAGCGGUGAAAUGCAUAGAUAUAACUUAGAACUCCGAUAGCGAAGGCAGCUUACCAGACUGUAACUGACGCUGAUGCACGAGAGCGUGGGUAGCGAACAGGAUUAGAUACCCUGGUAGUCCACGCCGUAAACGAUGCUCACUGGUUCUGUGCGAUAUAUUGUACGGGAUUAAGCGAAAGUAUUAAGUGAGCCACCUGGGGAGUACGUCGGCAACGAUGAAACUCAAAGGAAUUGACGGGGGCCCGCACAAGCGGAGGAACAUGUGGUUUAAUUCGAUGAUACGCGAGGAACCUUACCUGGGUUUAAAUGGGAAAUGUCGUAUUUGGAAACAGAUAUUCUCUUCGGAGCGUUUUUCAAGGUGCUGCAUGGUUGUCGUCAGCUCGUGCCGUGAGGUGUCGGGUUAAGUCCCAUAACGAGCGCAACCCUUACCGUUAGUUGCUAGCAUGUAAUGCUGAGGACUCUAACGGGACUGCCACCGUAAGGUGAGAGGAAGGCGGGGAUGACGUCAAAUCAGCACGGCCCUUACGUCCGGGGCUACACACG
rnacentral:rRNA from 1 species